rfam:Asian citrus Psyllid, Diaphorina citri - Florida Strain, whole genome shotgun sequence.
GCCUAGUUAGCUUAGUUGGUAGUGCGUCUGCCUUGUAAGCGCUAGGCCGUGGGUUCGAUUCCCGCCCGGGGCG